GCACUUCUGAGGAGUCCCACAAUAGGACGAAACAGUCGUCCAGUGC
rnacentral:hammerhead_ribozyme from 1 species